AGUUGCUCAACUAUUUAUCUCAGGCUUUAUUAGGAAAAAAUCUCAUAGAGAUAACCCCAAAUGCAUUGAUUCUCAAGUUCUUAAAGAGGCAAGACAAAUGGAAAGACACUUCCUUUCUCUUUUGGAGGUAGGGUGAUCCACAUUGAAACUGUAUCAAGUAUUCGCCUCAAUUGCUUAUCUCUUUCUAAGAUUCCCAUAU
rnacentral:lncRNA from 1 species